UACUGUGCAUGCCUCCAAGUUACCCCUAAUUGCAGCCCAGUGGAGAGGAGUGCAACCCUCUUUAUCCUGGCGUCCUCUAUAAGCAUCCAGAAACAAUAGAAGGCGUAUACAAUCAGCAAAACCUUUAUAAGCAGCCCAGUGUAAAGGGCUUCUUCCAUCAUUAUCAGGACCAUCGGGGUCAGCAUUCCAUUUUGAGACAAUGUGAUACAGGAAAGCUGUCUGACCAUAUUGAGCUGCAACAUGUGUUGCCUGAUAGCCAUACAUAUCAGAAGCAGUUACUUGAGCACCCUCUUGGAGUAAUAACUCUGCAACUUGGAUUGCACCCCGAACUGCACUCCAGUGCAAUGCUGUCUGCCCAGUAUGAUCUACUGCAUUUACUUGUCCUCCAUGCUCAAUGAUGUACUGAGCAGCGGCAGUCCGAUUAUUCAAAGCGGCCCACUGUAACGCGUAGUAUCCAAGACUAUCAGGCUCGGAAACAGAGCAAUCCUCACUCUCCACCAAUCUCUGAAGCUUCUCCAAA
rnacentral:misc_RNA from 1 species